UACAGAGGGUGCGAGCGUUAAUCGGAAUUACUGGGCGUAAAGCGUGCGUAGACGGUAGCGUAAGUCAGAUGUGAAAGCCCCGGGCUCAACCUGGGAAUUGCAUUUGAGACUGCUCUGCUCGGGUGCGGAAGAGGGAAGCGGAAUUUCCGGUGUAGCGGUGAAAUGCGUAGAUAUCGGAAGGAACAUCUGUGGCGAAGGCGACUAUCUGGGCCAACACUGACACUGAGGCACGAAAGCGUGGGGAGCAAACAGG
rnacentral:rRNA from 1 species